UACGGGGGGGGCAAGCGUUGUUCGGAAUUACUGGGCGUAAAGGGCUCGUAGGCGGCCAACUAAGUCGGAUGUGAAAUCCCCAGGCUCAACUUGGGAACUGCAUCCGAUACUGGAUGGCUUGAAUUCGGGAGAGGGAUGCAGAAUUCCAGGUGUAGCGGUGAAAUGCGUAGAUAUCUGGAGGAAUACCGGUGGCGAAGGCGGCAUCCUGGACCGACAUUGACGCUGAUGCACGAAAGCUAGGGGAGCAAACAGG
rnacentral:rRNA from 1 species